rnacentral:lncRNA from 1 species
AGGUGUCACAGCACGAUGGUCAUAUCAGUGCUGGGGAGGGACGGAAUUCCUAGGAUGCUUGCUAGAGGGUCACGGGGUUGGGGCACUCCUCAACCACGGGGCUGAGGCACUCCAAGUGCAGAGGCUUGGAAGAGCCACAGUGGAUCCAGGCCCUGAUGCCUGAGAAGGAGCCAGCUAGGCAGAGCCGGGGAGGAGCACUCCAGACAGACAGCAAUGAACCAUCCAAAAAUGAAGUGAAGAAGACAAUCUCAUUUAUAAUAUUGGCAAAAAGAACAUACCUAGAAAUAAAUGCAGCAAAAGAUGCAUAAAACUUGUGUACUGAAAAAUACAAAAUAUUUUUGAAAGGAAUCAAAGAGUAUCAAAUUAAAUGGAAAGAUAUCCUGCAGUCAUGGAUCAGGAGACAUAAUGUUAAGAUGGCCAAACUCCCGAAUUCAUCUAUAGCUUCACAAUCUCUAUCAAAAUCCCAUCUGUCUUUUUACAAGCUGAUGCUCAAAUUCAUAAGGAAAUACAAGGGUUUCAGAAUAGCCAAAACAAUCUAGAAAGAGAAGAGCAAAACUGGAGGGCUCACAUUUCCUGAUUGAAACUUACUGCAAAGCUACAGUAAUCAAGACAAUGUGGUACUGGCAUAAGGAUAGACAUACAGAUCAAUGCAGUAAAGUUGAGACUCCAAGAACAAAUCUUUGCAUUUAUGGUCAAUUGAUUUUUUUAAAGACUGUUCAAGUGCAGCAGUGAGAAGGCGGGAAAGAGUAGAACGAGGUGUUCCAUCUGUAACUGACUGUGAACAAUCAAUUGAGAUAACUCACUACCUUCAGACCGGCCAUCAGUUGAUUUUUGAUAAGGGUACCAAGACAAUUCAAUGGGGGAAGGAAUAGUCUUUUCGGAAAAUGGUGCUGGGACAACUAGAUAUCCAUGUGCAAAAGAAUGAAGUUGGACCCCUACCUCAUGCUGUGCACAAAAAUUAACUCAAAAUGGAUCGUAGACCUAAAUGUAAGCACUAAAAUUAUGAAAUCCUUAGGAAGGCCAGGCGCAGUGGCUCACACCUGUAAUCCCAGCAGUUUGGGAGGCUGAGGCAAGUGGAUCACCUGAGAUCAGGAGUUUGAGUCCAGCCUGGCCAACAUGGUGAAACCAUGUCUCUGCUAAAAACACAAAAAUUAGCUGGGCAUGGUGGUGGGCGCCUGUAAUCCCAGCUACUCGGG